AAAUAUAAAUAUCAGUUUUUUGUGGAUGCUUUGGUUUAAAAGAAGAAGGACGUUGUGCAAAACGAAAUGUUAUACUGAGAGUGUAAUCUGCGACGUAUAAAUUUCCUCCGUGGGAAACCACCACUCAUUUUUUAUUCAACUGGGUGAACUGAAACAUCUUAGUAACCCAAGGAAAAGAAAUCAACCGAGAUUCCGUAAGUAUCGGCGAGAGAACAUGGAACAGACCAAACCCCUUUAUUCUGGAAUGCAGAAAGGUGUGGAAAAAUCUACCAAAGAAGGUGAAAGUCCUGUAGGCGUUAUAGGAAAGGUGUGUUCAAAAAAGUAGAACGACGAUGUUUGUUUGAAUACAGGAGGUCCACCUUCUAGGUCUAAAUAUGCUUUUGAAACCAAUAGUGAACAAGUACCGUGAGGGAAAAGUGAAAAGAACCUUACUUAAAGGAGUGAAAUAGAACCUGAAACAAAAAAUAAUCAUUCAAUCGAUUUUCUUCCUACGGAAAGUCGGUGUACCUUUUGCAUAAUGGGUCAGCGAGUAAAUAAAAAAAGCGUUGCUUAAACGGUUACGUGGAGGCAAAGCAAAAGCGAGUAUCAAAAGUGCGUGUGUUUUUUUUAUUUGACCCGAAACUAAGUGAUCUAGCUUUGACCAGGCUGAAGAAAGGGUAAAAGUUUUUGGAGGGCCGAACUGACGUCUGUUGCAAUAGACGCAGAUGAGUUGAGGCUAGGGGUGAAAGGCCAAUCAAACUUAGAGAUAGCUGGUUCUCCGCGAAAUUUAUUGAGGUAAAGCGUUCAAUGAGAGAGAAAGGGGGUAGAGCACUCAUUAGGUAAAGGGGAUCCAAAGUCUUACUAAACGUAUUGAAACUCCGAAUACUUUUCUUUUCUAUCUUGAGCAGACAGACUUAAAGUGCUAAGGUUUUAAGUCAAAAGGGAAACAGCCCAGACUGUCCGCUAAGGUCCCUAAACAUUUUGGAAGUGGAAAAAGCGUUUUAUAACGAAGACAGCUAGGAGAUUGGCUUGGAAGCAGCCAUUCUAUAAUGAAAGCGUAAUAGCUCACUAGUCGAGUUUAAAAGCACUGAGAAUGUAUCGGGGCUUCACAAAAUUACCCAAGCGACAGAUAUUAUUGGUAGCGGAGCGUUUUGUAGACCAUUGAAGAGGUUUUGUGAAAAACUUUGGAGGAUUCAAAAGUGAGAAUGCUGACAUGAGUAACGACAAAUCAUGUGACAAUCAUGAUCGCCGUAAGUUCAAGGGUUUCUGCGUUCUGUUUUUCAGCGCAGAGUGAGUCGGUCUCUAAGUGUGUUUUUGAGAAAAAACCACGAUGAAACAAAUGAAAGAUGACGAAAUGCUAAGUAGAAAUCAAGAGUGUAUUGGAUGGCUUUGUGGUUUCUAUCAUUUCCAGGAAAACUCUUCAUAAACUGUGACCGUACCCGAAACCGACACUGGUGAACGAGUCGAAUAGACUAAGGCGUGGAGCGAACCAUAUUGAAGGAACUCGGCAAAUUUUUCCUGUACCUUUGGAAGAAAGGAAGCCAAUUUUGGUGACACAAAAAUGGGGGUGACGACUUUUUACUAAAAAAUUAGGACUCUGCAAAAUGGGAACAUGAUGUAUAGGGUCUGACGCCUGCCCGGUGCUUGAAGCUUAACCUGUAUACUGUUUUGGUAUAUUGAGAAGGCCUAGUAAACGGCGGUUGUAACUAUAACAAUCAUAAAGUAGCGAAAUUCAUUGUCAGCUAAUUCCUGACCUGCAUGAAAGGCGUAACGAUUGCCCCACUGUCUCCAGUAUGGACUCCGUGAAAUUGAACUCUCCGUGCAGAUGCGGAGAAUGUGCCCCAAGACGAGAAGACCCUAUGCAUCUUUACUGUACAUUUACACUGGAAAAAAGCUUGAAUUGUGUAGGAUAGGUGGGAGUUGUCAACACCCUUGAAAUACCACCCUUUUUAAGAGGAGUUCCUUAUUUGACUAAUAUUCAAAAACACUGUAUAUGAGGCAGUUUGACUGGGGCGGUCGCCUCCUAAAGAGUAACGGAGGUGUGCGAAGGUAAACUCAAUGAAAGACGGAAACUUUCUGUAGAGCGUAAUGGUAGAAGUUUGCCUGACUGCGAGAGUGACAGCUCGAGCAGAGACGAAAGUCGGUCAUAGUGAUCCAAAAGUGCUGUGUGGAAAGACUUUUGCUUAACGAAUCAAAGAUACGCUAGGGAUAACAGGCUAAUACUCCCCAAGAGUCCUUAUCGACGGGAGUGUUUGGCACCUCGAUGUUGACUGAUCAUAUCCUGGGGCUGAAAAAGGUCCCAAGGGUUCGGCUGUUCGCCGAUAAAAAUGGUACCUGAGUUGAGUUUAGAACGUCGUGAGACAGUUUGGAUUCUACCUGGGGUGCACGCGAAGAAUUGAGAAACUCAUUUCCUUGUACGAGAGGACCGGAAAUGUUCAACCUCUGGUGCACUGGUUGUUCUGCCAAGAGCAGUGCCAGGUAGCUACGUUGAGAAAGGAGAACCGUUGAAAGCAUCUUAAAUGGGAAACUUUUUUCAAGACAAAUUCUUAGAAACACGUGAAAGUCUCUCACGUAGAUAGGCGAAAAGUGAACCUUUUGAAAAAAAGUAGCUGAUUCGUACUAAAAGAACCCCAGAUAAUUCAA
rnacentral:rRNA from 1 species